rnacentral:rRNA from 1 species
UGGGGAAUCUUCCGCAAUGGGCGCAAGCCUGACGGAGCAACGCCGCGUGAGUGAAGAAGGUCUUCGGAUCGUAAAGCUCUGUUGAUGGGGACGAACGUGCCUAAUGCGAAUAGUAUUAGGUAAUGACGGUACCCAUCGAGGAAGCCACGGCUAACUACGUGCCAGCAGCCGCGGUAAUACGUAGGUGGCGAGCGUUGUCCGGAAUCAUUGGGCGUAAAGGGGGCGCAGGCGGGCAUGUAAGUCUUUCUUACAAGUGGGGGGCUCAACACCGUGAUGGGAACGAAACUAGGUGUCUUGAGUACAGGAGAGGAAAGCGGAAUUCCCAGUGUAGCGGUGAAAUGCGUAGAUAUUGGGAGGAACACCAGUGGCGAAGGCGGCUUUCUGGACUGCAACUGACGCUGAGGCUCGAAAGCCAGGGGAGCGAACGGG